UUGGGAGUCCUCGGAGGAAUCCUUGGCAGCGUCUUUAACAAGCUCAACACUCGUGUCACCAAGUGCUACAUCUACUGGUAUCUCAGGUAAGAAACAUUUCAAGUUUUCCUGCGAGAAAUCAAACGCGGGGUUAUUCACAGAAAGCCACCAUGCGUCAAAGUUAUACAUGCCUGCUUGAUGGCCAUUCUCACGUCCGCCUGCUGCUUCUGGCUUCCAUUUCUGGUUAAGUGCAGACCCUGCCCCGAUUUAUCUGAUAUUCCAGGAUAUAAAUGUCCAACCC
rnacentral:lncRNA from 1 species